rnacentral:rRNA from 1 species
AUUGAACGCUGGCGGCAUGCCUUACACAUGCAAGUCGAACGGUAACGCGGGGCAACCUGGCGACGAGUGGCGAACGGGUGAGUAAUGUAUCGGAACGUGCCCAGUUGUGGGGGAUAACUGCUCGAAAGAGCAGCUAAUACCGCAUACGACCUGAGGGUGAAAGCGGGGGAUCGCAAGACCUCGCGCAAUUGGAGCGGCCGAUAUCAGAUUAGGUAGUUGGUGGGGUAAAGGCUCACCAAGCAAACGAUCUGUAGCUGGUCUGAGAGGAGGAACGGCAACACUGGGACUUAGUGACGGCCCAGGCGCCGACGGGAGGCAGCAGUGGGGAAUUUUGUACAAUGGACGCAAGUCUGAUCCAGCCAUGCCGCGUGCGGGAAGAAGGCCUUCGGGUUGUAAACCGCUUUUGUCAGGGAAGAAACGCUCUGGGUUAAUACCUCGGGGUAAUGACGGUACCUGAAGAAUAAGCACCGGCUAACUACGUGCCAGCAGCCGCGGUAACAC